UACGGAGGAUCCAAGCGUUAUCCGGAUUCAUUGGGUUUAAAGGGUGCGUAGGCGGAAUGAUAAGUCAGCGGUGAAAUCCCUCGGCUUAACCGAGGAACUGCCGUUGAUACUGUCAAUCUUGAGUACAUUUGAUGUGGGCGGAAUGUGUCAUGUAGCGGUGAAAUGCUUAGAUAUGACAUAGAACACCAAUUGCGAAGGCAGCUCACUACGCGAAAUAUUGGACACUGAGGCACGGAAAAGCGUGGGGAUCAAACAGG
rnacentral:rRNA from 1 species